rnacentral:rRNA from 1 species
UACGGAGGAUGCGAGCGUUAUCCGGAUUUAUUGGGUUUAAAGGGUGCGUAGGCGGGCUUUUAAGUCAGCGGUAAAAAUUCGGGGCUCAACCCCGUCCGGCCGUUGAAACUGGGGAUCUUGAGUGGGCGAGAAGAAGGCGGAAUGCGUGGUGUAGCGGUGAAAUGCAUAGAUAUCACGCAGAACCCCGAUUGCGAAGGCAGCCUUCCGGCGCCCUACUGACGCUGAGGCACGAAAGUGCGGGGAUCGAACAGG